AAGAAUGGAAAAAGAAGAAGGGUAAAUCGAUUUUAGGAGCAUUAAGAGCUUCAAAUUGGUUGUUCAUGGUGGUUGUGGUAUUGAUGACAAUGGCAAUCUUGUAAUUACUUGAAGAUGAUGAGGGUGAGAGAGUAAAGAUGUCAUUUUCGGAAAAAAAAAAAAAAAAAAAAUUGAUGGCAUUUUCGUAAAUUAUAUGAACUUGUGGGGUGAAUAGGGCAAAACCAAUUUUCAAAAAAAAAGGAGGUUAGUUUUGUGUUUGACUUUAAGUUGUAGGUCAAUUUUGCAAAAAUCCCAAAAAAAAAACUAUUUGAAAAAGAACUGUUCAAUGAUUUUUGUUUUUGACGUAUCUAAUAAAAUGGUUUAUAAGUCUUGUUCCAUCAUUCUUUUGUCUGAUCUCGUCUGACAACCAGCACAAUAUAAUAUACUGUUCAUGUUGCAUCCAUCGGCCUAUCUAUU
rnacentral:lncRNA from 1 species